GCUAGAGGAUUACUGCCAGUUUCUAGGAGCAGGGGCGAGGGUUAUACUGAUUCCCUCCACACGCGACGUGUUUCACGAUCGAAUUUUUCCUCAGCCUCCUUUUAAUAGUUUCAUGUUUGAAGAUUCAUCCCAGCAGAUAUCUCUACUGCCGAAUCCAAGUGUGUUUCGCCUGGAUGAGGUAUCCAUUGGAUAUCAGAAGUUUCCCUUUUCCUCUUUGGAGAUCCAAGCCAUUAUCUCGGACAUCCUUGGACACCUUAUAUCUUUGCAGCUGUGACGAGGUCCUGAAUCUUGCGGCUAUACUGCUAAUGCAGUGAACUGCAAAAGCCUUUGAUUGAGCAGCGACAAGAAGAUUGUCGAGCUCCUGUACGUGAGCAUGCUCGGGAGUCUAUUAUCAUGCUUCUUCUGGAGGAAUUAAAAACAAAUUGAAGUAAGCGUUCUCUGGAAGUAAGCGUUUAGCAGUAACUCACACCACUGUUCAAGCUUGGAAGAAACAAAAAGCUAUGCUUGUUAGUUUAGCUUACCGCUUCUCUCGUCUUACCGGAGAGCAGCUUUGCUAUUUA